rnacentral:ncRNA from 2 species
GGAGCCAGAAGAGGAGCGUUGCCCAGGUAGAUCGGAGCAGGACACCAGCGUCCUAUGAUGCCGAUUGAGGGGGAGCAGCGCCGAGAUGAUGCAGGAGACUGGUCUCCUCAUCAUCGGCUACGGGGGCUGAAUCCCCCGGGUUGUCAUCGGUAGUGUCUAUCCAAUACCCGCGCCAGACUCUGGCUGGGUACUGGAUGGGUUCUACAGGUGGAGCGCUUCUGGCCGG